rnacentral:snRNA from 1 species
AUGUUUGCUUCGACAGCACAUAUACUGAAAUUGGAAGGAUACAGAGAAGACUAGUAUGAUCCCUGGGCAAGGAUGACACACAAAUUCAUGAAAUGUUCCAUAUUUUU